rnacentral:misc_RNA from 1 species
UCUCCGUUGGUGAACCAGCGGAGGUAUCAUUACCGAGUUUCCAAACUCCCAAACCCUUUGUGAACCUUACCUAUCGUUGCUUCGGCGGGAUCGCCCCGGGCCGCCCCUUCACGGGGGCCUCCGGAACCAGGCGCCCGCCGGAGAACCCAAACUCUUGCUGUACCUCAGUGGAACAUCCGAGUUAAAACAAAAAACAAGUUAAAACUUUCAACAACGGAUCUCUUGGUUCUGGCAUCGAUGAAGAACGCAGC